rnacentral:rRNA from 1 species
CCUCGGGAGGCUGCAGUGGGGAAUAUUGGACAAUGGGGGAAACCCUGAUCCAGCAAUGCCGCGUGUGUGAAGAAGGCCUGCGGGUUGUAAAGCACUUUCGGUUGGGAGGACUGCUUCUAGCACUAAUAUUGUUGGAAGUUGACGUUACCUUCAGAAGAAGCACCGGCUAACUCCGUGCCAGCAGCCGCGGUAAUACGGAGGGCGCAAGCGUUAAUCGGAAUUACUGGGCGUAAAGCGCGCGUAGGCGGCUAGAUCAGUCGGGUGUGAAAGCCCCGGGCUUAACCUGGAAACUGCAUCCGAUACUGGCUAGCUUGAGUACAGGAGAGGAGAGUGGAAUUCCACAUGUAGCGGUGAAAUGCGUAGAUAUGUGGAGGAACACCAAUGGCGAAGGCAGCUCUCUGGCCUGAUACUGACGCUGAGGUGCGAAAGCGUGGGGAGCAAACAGGAUUAGAUACCCGGGUAGUC